GAACAGAAGAUGAGUGGAAGAGAAGCUGUGAACAGUUGUGUUGAGAAAGCAGAAAAGAAAAUCUAUACAAAGAUAAGUCAUAAAAUGUCUUUGUCUAGACUGCAGCUUUCAGUGAUGAACGUAACUCCUACCUCCAUAAAGGAGCAAUGAGACAAAGAAAGGCUGUCAACCAGUGGGCCUGUAAACAAACUCUUUGAAUUUCAAAAGCUGCACUUGUCUGCAUGGAAGGAAAGCAAUCCGCAAAAACAAAGGAAAAGCAGCAAAAAAUAUUAAUUUCUAAUGAAGUUUCUUCAAUUACCAGUACAGGCAACGUAGAAAAUGAAAUGUUAUACCAACUAUGUCUAACUGAUUCAAGGCAAUUAUACUUUAAAUGUGAAAACUGCUCACAGAGGAAAGCAUCAACUCAGACAAAACGUGGAAGUAUUAAUACAGAAAAAAAGGAAUAACACAUGAAUGAAGAUGCAGUGACUGAAGAAAGAAAGGAAGAAAAAAGCCCUUAGUCAGCAAUAACUGUGAGCCCGAGCAAGCAGUUUGCACACAGUGGGACUGCUCUCCAGCACAAACAUGAGAGAGCUGAAUAGCAAAAACCAUCGGAUUCAGUUUGAAAUCACACUCUUGAUCCAACCUAAACUGCUUAUAUAGAGCAAGCUAUAGAAGAACACAAAGACCUCUCUACUUACUGCAGGAGCAGAAAGGAUUCAAACUCCUGAAACAGCAUUCAGAAGAUGAUAAGAAACAAAGCAAUAAUACUUACGUAAAAAGCCACUAUGACACUUCUAUUGCUAAGCAUAUAUAGCUGUAGCAGAACACGUUGACAUGGAUUGCCAUUAUCAAGUUGAAGGUUGUAACAUACUUAGCCAGCAAAGAGCAAUUGGCAACUGAUGUAUGGGCAGCUGAGCAGCAAAACUAAAAACUUUUUAAAAUGUAGUGAGAAAUUUCUAUCCAAAUAGCAGAUGUAACAAUUGCCAUAACCUAUGGCUGAUUCCUCAGUCUUCUGGCACCUUCAAUCUAUGUACAGUCAACAAUUUCCCACCCAGUGCCAAAUUUUGCUUCAGGGAAGUCAAAAGACUUUAUCAUCUUAUCCCAGUGCAAAUCUUUGAAGAAAACCACUAGCCAAAAAUACUUGAACUUUUUCCUGUAGAUACAAUUUCAGAAGAAUAACAUUUUCAAAAGGAACAGAUGUUUUGAGCAGCCUGAGCAUAUUCCUUCAGACAUGGCACACAUGCAACUUUAAGAGCUGAGAAAAAAAAUAAAACAAAGGGCCUUUGAAAAAUUACAUCUCAGAAUAUUUUCAAAACAGUCUUCUAAAUGCAAUGCAACUGUACUAAAAAAAUAUAUAUAGAGAGAGAGAGAGUAUUCUUCACUGGCCACUGGCCAUAUGCCACAUUCAGCUUUCCUGUGAAUGAGUUUCUGAUGAAGAUUGUAAAAUUUGGAUAAAACAAUAAAGUCACCGUAUU